AGAGUUUGAUCCUGGCUCAGAGCGAACGUUAGCGGCGGGCCUAACACAUGCAAGUCGCACGAGAAUGGAGGCUUCGGCCUCCUAGUAAAGUGGCGCACGGGUGAGUAAUACGUAGGUAAUCUGCCCAUCGGUGGGGGACAACCAGCCGAAAGGUUGGCUAAUACCGCAUUCGUCGGCCGGGUCUGCGGAUCUGGUCGGGAAAGCUGGCCUCUAUUUAUAAGCUAGCGCCGAUGGAGGAGCCUGCGUCGCAUCAGCUAGUUGGUGGGGUAACGGCCCACCAAGGCUAAGACGCGUAGCUGGUCUGAGAGGAUGAUCAGCCACACUGGAACUGAGACACGGUCCAGACUCCUACGGGAGGCAGCAGUGGGGAAUAUUGCACAAUGGGCGCAAGCCUGAUGCAGCCAUGCCGCGUGUAUGAAGAAGGCCUUCGGGUUGUAAAGUACUUUCAGCGGGGAGGAAGGGAGUAAAGUUAAUACCUUUGCUCAUUGACGUUACCCGCAGAAGAAGCACCGGCUAACUCCGUGCCAGCAGCCGCGGUAAU
rnacentral:rRNA from 1 species